AGUGAACGCUGGCGGUAGGCCUAACACAUGCAAGUCGAACGGCAGCACAGUAAGAGCUUGCUCUUACGGGUGGCGAGUGGCGGACGGGUGAGGAAUACAUCGGAAUCUACUUUUUCGUGGGGGAUAACGUAGGGAAACUUACGCUAAUACCGCAUACGACCUACGGGUGAAAGCAGGGGAUCUUCGGACCUUGCGCGAUUGAAUGAGCCGAUGUCGGAUUAGCUAGUUGGCGGGGUAAAGGCCCACCAAGGCGACGAUCCGUAGCUGGUCUGAGAGGAUGAGCAGCCACACUGGCACUGAGACACGUUCCAGACUCCUACGGGAGGCAGCAGUGGGGAAUAUUGGACAAUGGGCGCAAGCCUGAUCCAGCCAUACCGCGUGGGUGAAGAAGGCCUUCGGGUUGUAAAGCCCUUUUGUUGGGAAAGAAAAGCAGCAGGUUAAUACCCCGCUGUUCUGACGGUACCCAAAGAAUAAGCACCGGCUAACUUCGUG
rnacentral:rRNA from 1 species